UACGUAGGAGGCAAGCGUUGUCCGGAAUUACUGGGUGUAAAGCGCGUGUAGGCGGCAGGCCAAGUCUGUGGUGAAAUCGCUCGGCUCAACUGGGCGGGGUCCAUGGAAACUGGUCAGCUGGAGGACGGUAGAGGUGAGUGGAAUUCCCGGUGUAGCGGUGAAAUGCGCAGAUAUCGGGAGGAACACCGGUGGCGAAGGCGGUUCUCUGGGCCUGACCUGACGCUGAGGAGCGAAAGCGUGGGGAGCGAACAGG
rnacentral:rRNA from 1 species